GGGGGUGCCCUGGUUUCGACGGGGGUUGUGAGAUAGUCGGGUGCAUGCCGAGGGGGUGACUUUCCUCGUUAAUCCAGUCGCAAACUCUUAGUUGCCAACGACGACAACUACGCUCUCGCCGCUUAAGGCGUAAGCCCCGAACCCACUUGUGCUCGUGCUCGUGGAUGUAGGGUCACUAUCACGGGAUCGCCUUCGGUCUGCCGCCUGUCGGGCCGGGGUCAAAUCAAGCAGGCUGGUCGACCGGUGCGUUUCGCACGCCGUACUGCCGGAAGACGAGACCGAACGGUGAGCUAAGCAUGUAGGACCGGGCGUCAAGCGCCUUCGGACGCGGGUUCGAUUCCCGCCACCUCCACCA
rnacentral:tmRNA from 1 species